UGAUAAAUGUUCAUAGGUGAGCAUGUUACUAUUGCAUCAGAAACAUCUACACCAGCUCUGUGUGAUAAUUCAGUGGUGUGUGAACCAACACUGCAUGGAAACAGGACAAACAUGAACACACAGGAGAAAACAGGUAAGAUGUUGUAUAAUUUAGUGUUAAUUAAUUAUCCUUAAUUCAUAAAGCAUACUUUGCCUAGAAAAUAAUUUGUGCUAAUAUAAAUAUAAUGUGAUUAAAUAACAUUCUUAGAAAAGACUAGAUCUCUACAUUCGACAGUGCUCGGUUUGGGAACGGCUUUGGGCUUUUGUGCACUUCUGAUUUUCUGCCUCAUUUAUUUCCUACUGAGGAGAAGAAAAUGUGAUAAAAUAAAUGCUUCUAUGGAAGAUUCUCCAGGAACAAGUCAGGAAACUGAAGCUGAAAAACUGAAUUAUGCAGCUUUGCAAUUCUCUAAGAGGAAAGCCACAACUCCAAAAAGAAAAUCUGGCUCGUCAGAUGAGUGUGUGUACUCCGAUGUGAAUAAAACUGUAAGAUGUAACAUGAAUAAUUAUUAACAGAUGGUGAAACACAUGGCAAAAACACUGAAAAUGUGGUAGCAAGUUGAAAUUAUGCAAAUUUAUUCUGUAUUUUUCAUUACAAGCUUAUAGUCACUAAAAGAUUAUUAAACCUACAUUUUUGCUCAUCUCAAGCUUGACAGAUAAUUUAUCCUCUUACAGAGAAGUGUAUUGCUAGAAGCAGAAUUACUGUAUAUGCCAAUAAUAAAAAAAAAGUGAAGCCUAGAAAAUAAUCUUGUUUACAAUAAUCUCAUAAUAAUAAAUAUUAAAUAAAUUUGCCCAUAUUCAGGAUACUGUUUUUUUUU